CACUCUGACCUGAAGUCACUUCACAAGUAGGGGUUUAACGGCGUGGCCGCGACGAAACCAGUAAUGAUGUGUAAAUUACUACGCUAUGGAAGCUCGACGUGACCGCCAAUGUAUUUGGGGAGUGCAGCAGGACUGCAGCUCCCAACACCAAGCUGGGCUUGAGGGUUGAAAUGACGCUCGAACAGGCAUGCCCGCCAGAAUACUGGCGGGCGCAAUGUGCGUUCAAAGAUUCGAUGAUUCACUGAAUUCUGCAAUUCACAUUACUUAUCGCAUUUUGCUGCGUUCUUCAUCGAUGCCAGAACCAAGAGAUCCGUUGUUGAAAGUUUUGAUUUAUUUGUUUUUUAUACUCAGAAGUUCCACUAAAAACAGAGUUUAGGGUUCCUGCGGCGGGCCGUCCCUUUUUACGGGGCGCGGGCUGAUCCGCCGAGGCAACAUAAGGUAUGUUCACAGGGGUUUGGGAGUUGUAAACUCGGUAAUGAUCCCUCCGCUGGUUCACCAACGGAGACCUUGUUACGACUUUUACUUCCCAAUUACAAUGAAAUUUUGCCAUUUGGAGGAGUGCAUAAAUAACACGGUGCCUAGUUCUUCUUUUUCUGAUAUGCCCAUUAGCCUAUCACAAGUACGACACGGCCCUCACACGUUAGAACACCACAAACGACCUAUAAAUAACGAGUUUCCCCCGUGUGCAGGCUCUACCGCUCGUUGUUCGCCAUUUCGCCUCUUUCCUAAAACCACAUCCUCUCCUCCUUGUCCCACCCGAUGUCUGAUAUUUCUCUAGAGCAUGNGUUCAAUNCUCAGUCUUCUGUAUCAUCUCGUUAUAUGCGCGGAACAAGACUCAGCUCUACUUACUGAUCUACG
rnacentral:misc_RNA from 1 species